rnacentral:rRNA from 1 species
UACGUAGGGUGCGAGCGUUGUCCGGAAUUACUGGGCGUAAAGGGCGCGUAGGCGGCCACCGCAAGUCGACUGUGAAAUCUCUGGGCUUAACCCAGAACGGUCAGCCGAUACUGCGGGGCUAGAGUGCAGAAGGGGCAACUGGAAUUCUCGGUGUAGCGGUGAAAUGCGUAGAUAUCGAGAGGAACACCUGCGGCGAAGGCGGGUUGCUGGGCUGACACUGACGCUGAGGCGCGAAAGCUAGGGGAGCGAACGGG